rnacentral:rRNA from 1 species
AUUGAACGCUGGCGGCAGGCCUAACACAUGCAAGUCGAGCGAGCGGCGGACGGGUGAGUAAUGUCUGGGAAACUGCCUGAGGGAGGGGGAUAACUACUGGAAACGGUAGCUAAUACCGCAUACCAUCGGAUGUGCCCAGAUGGGAUUAGCUAGUAGGUGGGGGAACGGCUCACCUAGGCGACGAUCCCUAGCGGGUCUGAGAGGAUGACCAGACACACUGGAACUGAGAUACGGUCCAGACUCCUACGGGAGGCAGCAGUGGGGAAUAUUGCACAAUGGGCGCAAGCCUGAUGCAGCCAUGCCGCGUGUGUGAAGAAGGCCUUCGGGUUGUAAAGCACUUUCAGUGGGGAGGCGUUACCCACAGAAGAAGCACCGGCUAACUCCGUGCCAGCAGCCGCGGUAAUUC